UACGUAGGGUGCAAGCGUUUAAUCGGAAUUACUGGGCGUAAAGCGUGCGCAGGCGGCUUUGCAAGACAGAUGUGAAAUCCCCGGGCUUAACCUGGGAACUGCAUUUGUGACUGCAUGGCUGGAGUGCGGCAGAGGGGGAUGGAAUUCCGCGUGUAGCAGUGAAAUGCGUAGAUAUGCGGAGGAACACCGAUGGCGAAGGCAGCCCCCUGGGAUGUGACUGACGCUCAUGUACGAAAGCGUGGGGAGCAAACAGG
rnacentral:rRNA from 1 species